UUGAAAGGUUAAGAGAGGCCAGA
rnacentral:miRNA from 1 species